GCGCCCGUAGCUCAGCUGGAUAGAGUACAUGGCUACGAACCAUGGGGUCGGGAGUUCGAAUCUCUCCGGGCGCGCCA
rnacentral:tRNA from 2 species